GACAGAGGGUGCAAACGUUGCUCGGAAUCACUGGGCGUAAAGGGCGUGUAGGCGGGAAGGAAAGUCAGAUGUGAAAUCUCCGGGCUUAACUCGGAACGGUCAGCUGAUACUGCUUUGCUAGAGUGCAGAAGGGGCAAUCGGAAUUCUUGGUGUAGCGGUGAAAUGCGUAGAUAUCAAGAGGAACACCUGAGGUGAAGACGGGUUGCUGGGCUGACACUGACGCUGAGGCGCGAAAGCUAGGGUAGCAAAUGGG
rnacentral:rRNA from 1 species